rnacentral:rRNA from 1 species
GCGCAGCAGUCGCGAAACUUUACAAUGUGCGAAAGCACGGUAAGGGAACUCUGAGUGCCUCCUAAGGAGGCUGUUCAGGUGUCUAAAAGCACCUGAAGGAAGGGCUGGGUAAGACCGGUGCCAGCCGCCGCGGUAACACCGGCAGCCCAAGUGGUAGCCACGUUUAUUGGGUCUAAAGCGUCCGUAGCCGGCUGGGUAAGUUCCUUGGGAAAUUUGGCUGCUUAACAGUCAAGCUUUCAGGGAAUACUGCCCGGCUUGGGACCGGGAGAGGUCAGAGGUACUCCAGGGGUAGGGGUGAAAUCCAUUAAUCCUUGGGGGGCCACCGGUAGCGAAGGCGUCUGACCAGACCGGGUCCGACGGUGAGGGACGAAGGCUAGGGGCGCGAACCGGAUUAGAUACCCCCGUAGU